rfam:Pantoea vagans C9-1, complete genome.
UCCUGUUCUGCAGGGAGAGGGAUGAGAACCUUCGAUUAAGGUUCGGGUCGAGCUUGCGAGACAACGCGCUUCAGCGCGGCCCGGAGGGUGAGGCGCAACGCGCCGAAUAAUCCUUCUCCCACCACCA